AUCGAAAGAAGUUUUAAGCAAAUCACCGCGCGAAUUAAGGGAAGUUACAGCAACCGCUAGUAGAUACAACCGGUUCCGAUCGGCUAAAGGUGGCCAGGGAAAACAGGAGUAGUAGCCGAUCGUGGAUGGGGAUAACUGAUCAACAGGAACGAUCUAUAAAUAGAACAAUAAUGCCCUGAAAAGAGGUCUUUUUUUCGAGAAUAGAAAACCACCUUUAUUUUCUCUGCAAUUUCUUCGUAUUUCUUAGACUAGUCCACUUGUAAUUCUUUAUUUUUCAGUACUUACUGCUUUUCUUAGGAGUAGAAUUAGACUAGAUCAACCGAGUCUGUAUGCCUUCAGGCACACUCGACCCUUAUACUUUUUUCACAAGUCAUUUUCAAUAUAUAUAAAGGCAUUCGGCUCUUUCAGCCGACCAGUAUCUGUCUUUUCCCAUUCAUUCGGCUCUUCGGCCGACCCUAAUAUUGUGCAGUCCAUACAUUCAGUUCAUUCAGCCGAACCAGUUUUAUAUUGAAGGUUUUCGAACCCGGCUGAUAUGAUCCCUCAUCAGCCGAAUCGCUUGAUUCAGUCGAAGGGCGCAAACUUCGAAGGUCACUAUUCGUAACCGCUCAACAUCUCGACGCGCUUUCUGAGAAAGAUCUUUGACCAGGUCAAAAAAGGGCGAGUUCGGCUCCCAACAAAAUGUAAAAUAAUUAUUUUUCUCUAAAAACUUUUAUUUAACACAAGCACAAACCAAAUACCACACCAAAAAGAAACUCUAUGAUAGAUAUUUUUAAAUUAUCUCUACAUUAAAUAUUAUACAUUUUACAAAUCAAUUUGUAACGAACCAAAUAAUAAAUUUUUUUUUUCUAUCCGCUAUCAUAU
rnacentral:lncRNA from 1 species